CUGAAAGCAUCUAAGUGCGAAGCCAGCCGCAAGAUGAGAACUCCAUUGAGGGUCGUCAGAGACGAUGACGUUGAUAGGAUGCAGGUGUAAAGACAGCGAUGUCAAAGCCGAGCAUUACUAAUUGCCCGAACACUUUCUUUAU
rnacentral:rRNA from 1 species